rnacentral:rRNA from 1 species
AACAUGUCUUCUUGAAAUAUAUAGGAAGUCUGACCUGCCCAGUGAUUUAAUUUAACGGCCGCGGUAUAUUGACCGUGCAAAGGUAGCAUAAUCAUUAGUCUUUUAAUAGGGGACUGGUAUGAAUGGUUCGACGAAAUAUUAACUGUCUCAGAUUAAUAUAUUAUAAUUUGAUUUUUGAGUCAAAAAGCUUAAAUUUUAUUGAAGGACGAGAAGACCCUAUAGAGCUUUAUAAUUGAUGUUAAUAAUUAUUUUAAUUUAUUUUUUAUUUUUUUACAUUAAUUUUUUUGUUGGGGUGACAACAAAUAUAAGAAUAACUUUUUUAUUUAUAUUACAUUUAUACAUGGUUAUUAGAUCCAUUAUUAUUGAUUAUUAGAUUAAGUUACCUUAGGGAUAACAGCGUAAUCUUCCUUCAGAGUUCAUAUUUACAGGGAGGGUUGCGACCUCGAUGUUGGAUUAAGAUUAUAAUUAGGUGUAGCAGCUUAAUCUAUAGGCCUGUUCGACCUUUAAAUUCUUACAUG